UUUAUUUUCUUCAUACACAGCAGACUUGACUUCUUCUACGUGUAAUAUAACAUAUUCCAGAGCAAAAAAAGCACCGUGAAAAAAAAAUCAGAACUCGUUCCUAUUUAUCGUCCCAAUUGUAUUAAAACAAUUUCACCUAUUUUUGCUAUUUAGCUAUUUUUGUGCAGCCUCCCCCUCUUAGACUGAGGCUAAGUGAGAGACAGAGUUUUACUUUUUUAGAGGUACUUUUACAACAGGGAAACUGCUUUUCUCAUAAGAAAAUUACCGUGAAGUGAGGGAAACUGACACCCGCUGGAUGGGGAUAAAAAGCGGGAGGAGCAAGAAGGGGGAAACAGUGGAGACAGAUCCACGACACGCGCAAGUCUGCGGAUCGGGAGGGAAAUCAGUGAUUAUGUCCGCAAACGGAUCAAACAACGACGUGGAUCAGAGAGGCCGGGCCGGGUUGUCGGACGGGGAAACCUUCAGGUCUCACGCCGAGGACAUCGUGACUAUACCGAGCCGGGUCACCGCUGUAGACAAUCCGUCAAAGGAGGAGCAAGAGAGAGUUGUAGCAUCCCGAGCUCUCCGUCCUAUCAUACGCAAUCCUCGUGGGCUGCAGGUCAUGAGACUCCAAGCAGGAAGAGGAGCCCGGCAACGAAGGAAUUUCCAUAAGAGGGAGGUCCUGCGAAUGCUCUCCAGCAUGUACUCCACAACCCUUUUGGCCUAUGUAUCAAUAGCAAACAGCAGGGAUUUGUAAUGUGUGGGGAAUAAAAAAUAAAAAAAUCAUGUCAAACCAGCACUGUAUUCCAGAUCUUUGUUGGACGCCUUUAGAAAACGCUCUCCAGGUCCUCCUUCAAAACCUUAAACGAUCGGCUUGUGUGGCAGCGGUACCCUGACCCGCUGGAGCCGAUAGAAAGUGCUCUUCAACUAUGGCCAGAACGAGCCUGACCGGCAUGAGUAAAUGAAGGGUGUCUUCAAAAGAAUACCGCGGUCAAGUGAGCCCUCACUUACGAAGUCACAGUCAAGCUAGCCGCCCCGCCAGCCGCACCUAAAAUGUGGUUGCACUACUCUUACG
ensembl:lncRNA